CGUUCCUCUUUAAAUCCUGCUCAGUACUGCAGUGCUCCAGCACUGUUGCCAUGGCAGAGCCUUCACCAUAGUAAUAACCUCUUUCAAGGAAGGUUAAAGAGAGACAAUGCACAUGCUCAGAAAUGCCGUAUUUGUUCGGUUGGCAGUUCACAGCAGCCAUUCCAAAGAGACCAUCACAAAGACGAGAGAGAGCAGGGCUGAAACUCAGCUGACUACGGGAACAGCCUGUUUGUAUUGAAGCACAGAGCCACAGCAGGAAGUGCCAGCUAACAGGAUGCUGUUU